rnacentral:rRNA from 14 species
AAUAGAAACAAUAGAGGAUAUUAGUAUUUUAUAGUUAGAGGUGAAAUUCUAUGAUUUAUGAAAGACUAACAGGGGCGAAAGCAUUUAUCUCUUGUAUGUUUAUUGAUAAAGAACGAAAGUUAGGGGAUCGAAGAUGAUUAGAUACCGUCGUAGUCCUAGACUAUAAACAAUACUAACUAUGGAUUUGGGGGGCCAACAAUGUAUUCUAUUACAUUGAAAGGGCGCGUGAGGACAUUGCGAGAAAUCAUUGAGUAUUUGAGUUCCGGGGGGAGUAUGGUUGCAAGACUGAAACUUAAAGGAAUUGACGGAGGGGCACCACAAGGCGUGGAGCUUGCGGCUUAAUUUGACCCAACACGGAGAAACUUACCAGACCAAGACAUCAUUGAGGAUUGACAGACGAGGAGGUUUUUCGAGAUAGGAUGGGAGGUGGUGCAUGGCCGUUCUUAGUUGGUGGAGUGAUUUGUCAGGUUAAUUCCGAUAACGAACGAGAUUUUAGUGGAAGAGACGAGAGAGUAAAUGAAAGUUUAUUUUCUUGGUUAUUUCAGAUGGAUAGGAAAAUAAACUAUAGGAAGAUUAAAGUGAUAACAGGUCUGUGAUGCCCUUAGAUGGUUUGGGCUGCACGCGUGCUACAAUGAUAGAGACAGAGAUCCACCAAGAGAGUAAUGUUUUUUGGAUUGACGCAUCGAAGGAUGGGUUGAAAGGAUGGAGAAUCUAUUCAUGUUAGGGGAUUAACGAUUGGAAUUAUUCGUUAUGAACACGGAAUGCCUAGUAAGUAUAAGUCAACAGGUUAUAUUGAUUAGGUCCCUGCCUCUUGUACACACCGCCCGUCGCUGCUACCGAUUGAAUAGUAAAUGUGAAAUGGGAGGACUCGGCCAAGUCGUUCGUUUGUUUGAUUUGGAAGAGGAAAACUAUUGAAUGUUUAUAUUUAGAGGAAGCAAAAGUCGUAACAAGGUUUCCGUAGGUGAACCUGCGGAAGGAUCAAU